CCAUUAAGAAAAUGAGAAACUUCUGGAAAGAGACAUGGAUGGGUAUGUAACAGUCCAUGUAGGAGAAGCAGUACAUUUUAUCACAGAUGCCCAGUGAGCAGUGCCAUCGAACCAGAGUCCUGAAGCAAGUCAACAAACUCCUUAGGUCUUGUGGGGCUAUUCACUGUUUAAACAUGGACUUUAUCCAAACCAACUCAAAGUUCUGAAGUAGCACAGAAGAGGCAUCCAGCCCACAGGCAACUGUGCCAAACUGCAUUCCUGAUUUAGAGGUGCAGAGAAACCAGAGGAUUUCAAGAGAAGGGAGAGUUCAUACCUGUGAGGCAGAGCUGGGGAGAGAUGUGGUCUAUUUUGAUGGUAGGAUCAAGGCUACUCUAAUAGAUCCAUGUCUGUCAAAGAGAAUGAAGCAAUAGGUUGCUCAGGAUCUCCUUCUGGUCAAGUAUGUUCAACAGUUCUCCAGCUAGAUGUGUUUAACUGGACUUCUUUCACUGUAUGGCUGGUCCUCACUAGCCAGCAGAUGUUGCUACUGAGCAGCAGAAAGACCAGUACAUGUCCUGCUCCAAGGCUGAACAUAACUCAUAAAUCAGUUUGUAUCUACAUGAAGAAAAAAAAACAACCCACCCCAAAUGUCAAGUUUGAGUCAUCUGUGAUUACAGUUACACAAAAAGAGUGAGGUUUCCUGAACCUAUGAAAGUAUGGAGAAGUAUGUUGAACAGCAAGGUAAAUCUUGAAGCAGAAAACUCUCUCCACUAUCAGAAACAUUCUAACAGUCUGCAGCUUUAAAAUGUAUAGCAUCAUAUUAGCACUAGACCACUGACUUCACCCAACAUACCUCAUCUUUACAUCAGUGCUCAAUUCACAACUUGAAGUUCAUCAGACAUUUAAAGACAAAUGUUCUUCUAAAGCAUUCUGGGCACCAUUCUAGGCACCAUUUUAAUACUCCAAAGCAGUCAACGGACCAGCUAUCUGUAAGCUGUGCCACUCAGACAAAGAACUUCAUCAAGAUACUGCACUUAUUCUGGAGAUCAUCCUUUCUCAUAAAGUAUGCUGUAAGGGACACUCAAGGAAGUAAAUUCAGAGGGACUUUUAUGGCUUUCCACUCUUACGGACUCUCUGCAUUGUUCUUUUUAGCAACGAGAAUGCUGAAUUGCAUAACAAAUUUAACUUGUUUCCAGUUGGCAGAGUUGCAGUGAAGGGGUUGUUCAGGUAACUGCGUGGAGGGGAUUUCCAUCUUGCUGUGUAAGGGGUCAAUACCAUAAGAGGGCAUUUCCAUAAAGGAAAGUGAUCGUGCAAACUCGGUGGCUUCAAUGCAAAGAUUGCCUUGUUUUUCAGAUAUUGUCAGCAGGGGGGAGGAGAAAAGAGGUUAAAUUGCCAAGGAGUUUUUAUUAUUAUUUUUUCCUACUGCUCAUUUCUACUAAAAAGCCAGUGAUCUGGCAUCUUUUGGGUAGAGACAGGAAACUGACAUUGCAAUGUGAAAGUAUUCCUGGAAAACUGAAAUUUCAAAGUGUAGUUCUACCUUUUUUUUUUUUUUUAACAUAUUAAUUCAUUCAAAAUUUCCCCUGAGACUCCCUCAGGGGACUGAAAACACCUGAGAAAAAAAAAAAAAGGGAAAAGGUCUCAUUAUCUAACUCCACUGCUACAGUUGUCAGCUCUCAGGAUAAUGUUCACUGCUCCUUAUUAAUCCUGUCACUAGCAUAUGGAUGCAGAUGGGAAAGUACUCAAAUUAAUAAAGUGCUUUGAGUAACUUAGGACA
rnacentral:lncRNA from 1 species